rnacentral:rRNA from 1 species
ACCGCCCGUCCAAGCCAUGGGAGCCGGGAGUGCCUGAAGUGCGUGAGCGCAAGCAGCGCCCUAAGGUAAACCGGUGACUGGGGCUAAGUCGUAACAAGGUAGC